rnacentral:rRNA from 1 species
ACGCUCGACACCUACUGGAGGCAGCAGUGGGGAAUAUUGCACAAUGGGGGAAACCCUGAUGCAGCGACGCCGCGUGAGCGAAGAAGUAUUUCGGUAUGUAAAGCUCUAUCAGCAGGGAAGAAAAUGACGGUACCUGACUAAGAAGCCCCGGCUAACUACGUGCUAGCAGCCGCGGUAAUCUGAGCGGGCUGGCAAGGC